rnacentral:rRNA from 1 species
UACGUAGGGUGCAAGCGUUAAUCGGAAUUACUGGGCGUAAAGCGUGCGUAGACGGUUAUUUAAGUCGGGGUGUGAAAGCCCCGGGCUCAACCUGGGAAUUGCAUUCGAGACUGAAUAGCUAGGGUACGGUAGAGGGAAGCGGAAUUUCCGGUGUAGCGGUGAAAUGCGUAGAUAUCGGAAGGAACAUCAGUGGCGAAAGCGGCUUCCUGGACCAGUACCGACGUUCAGGCACGAAAGCGUGGGGAGCAAACAGG